CUCGCUGAAAGGCGGCUCCGGGCCGGGAAGGUGCGGAAAGAAUGGCUUUUUAUUGGAGUCCCGAACAAAAGAGCCUAAUCGUGAAAGGUUAAGAGGCUGGACUCUGGAGUCAGGCUGCCUCCAUUCUGCUCUCAGCGGCCGCCACACCCCGCAGUAGAGACCUGGAGUAAGUUGCGAGCACUCUGAACCCGUUUCCUCCUCUACAACAUGGGGCUCCAGAGGGACUUCCUGGGCACCUCCUCCCAAUCCGAGGAGCCCGAGCCCCGGAAGGCCAGCCGAUUCUCCGUGACCAGACAGUUCAGUUCCACGCGAAGGGGAAGCAUCCUCGGAACCGCCCGGGCAACGCAGGUUCCGCGGGGCGGGCGCCGCCUCCCACCAGACAGGCCCGGGGCGGUCAGAGCCCGCCUGGCAGGGAGCGCACCGACAGCUCCGGGAGAGCCUGGCAACCCUCGGGGUGAGAACCCAAACUUGAAGAGCCAGCAGUCCUGAAGAUCUCCACCUGGGCGCGGAGCCAGGCCCAGCGCGCAGCGCGCAACGCGGAGGUCUUUCCCCACUUUCCAUGGCUCUUCUUGCAGAAUUCUCAGCUGACUGGGUAGGACUGAAGCACCCUGAAGCGGAGAAGGAUUUGGACUCAGUAGAAAGGAGGGGGAAGCAUUCCAGGUGGGUAGCUGUGAGUUUACGGGUGGCUGUCUGAGGAGGGACUGAAACCCUGAGCAAUGUCGUCAGCCUCAGCCACCUCACGCCCCUGUGCUGCAGCCACCCUGAAUUUUCCCACUCUGAACCCACUGGGCGAUUUCUGCUGCUUUGUCUGCCUUUGCAAAGCUUUUCCCUCUGCCUGGACCACACUUUUGCGAUGGUGUAUAAUAAACUGAUUGUAGAAGACAGAGUUUAUUUUCAAAAGGAAGUUUUAUUCUCCCAUACUUAGCC
rnacentral:lncRNA from 1 species